rnacentral:piRNA from 1 species
UAGGACUGUGUGCUAGAGAGUGAGUCAC